GGAACACUCAUCAAUUCCUAUUGAUGACACUGCUGAAAGGUGGAGUUCAGCGAGUGCCUGGUGUGGUCCCUUCCUCCUCCUUCCUGAAGAUGCAGACUUUUGCAUCUACCCCCUGUUCCGGUUGUCUGCAGCCUGGUGCCUGGACCUGCACCCUGAUGCCUCAGCCUGGUGCCUCUCCAGGAGCAUCCCCUCCACAUGACCACCAUGUGCUCCCUUUGGUGGAUGCUGCCCCAUUUCAGGGGGCUUGGGGAGCCAGAUCAACCUGGGAAAGAGAAGCAGAGCAAGUUUUGCCAUGAUCUGGAAGGCUUCAGGCACCUCCCCUUCAUCAUCACAUCUCAGGUUGAUCCCUGAGGGUGGGUACCUCCAUGGCCAAGGUGCCUGUGUGGGAAAGGUCCCAGCUGGGCCCUGGCCAAGCCAGAAAUGCAAAUAAUGAUGGUCCCAAACAAUGUGCCUUUCGAUGCUGCUUGCAGUAUCCAUUUUAACCAGACAAAUGCCAGCCUGGUGCCAUCUGGUUACAAGAGAUACUAAAAGCCUCAGUGAGGAGCACAGAGAAGCUGAGGGGAUAUUACCAGUUGUUACAGGUUGCAAAGGAGGAGGUUCUUUUUAGCCUGGCUUUUCACACUCAGAAAUGAGCACAAAGGAUUCUGGUAAUGAUGAGGACUGAGGAAAUACUCCCUCUGUGGCAGCAGGACAAGCAUCCUUGCCUCUUGCAGUGCCUCCUUUCUCUGGGGGAAGGGCAGGCAGGAGCAAAUGCUGGGUUGGAUUUUAUGGUAUGUUUUCAAUUAGAUUCUCUUUAAUUGACUAACACCUUCCCCUGAGCCAUCUUGCUCUGCUCAGAGACAAAAUACCACGGAAUUGGCCCAUUUUCCAAGAGCACUGUGGUAUUUCCUCUCUUCCUGCACAUAAAUAACCCCCAUGCAGGCUUGGCUACCUGCUUGCAGCUACUAGAAAUAGCCAGAAAAAAAAGAGGACCAGAUUCAUAACUCGAAGCAAUCAGAAGCCAGAAGAGCUCUGUCCCUUCUGCAUUCUAAGGAGCACUUUUAAUGCUUGCAGGGGAUGAUUCCUGGAGAUCUUUGGUCUUUUCCACCCUGCUCCUUUCACAGCAUGAAACUAAAGUCUCUGCUAAAUAACAUCUUCAGUUCUGAGGUGGUGCUUGAGAUACAAGUGGGUCCAUAGGACCUUACAGCUCCUUCAUUCUGGAGCAUGGCUGUGUCCGAGGAAGUUCCCAACUCGAUGCUCAGCUUCUGGGUGCUGUUUCCAGGCAGUGGCACCGGGAGCACGGCAGAUGAGAUGUCGCUCUGUUUACUUACACGUACUGUGCACAAACUGCCCAUUACUGGCACUGCAAAGUUCCUGGCUGCAGGAGGCACAGCAUCGUCUUUCAAAAGGCUCUAAUGAAAGUGGGUCAGACAUUUUCCCUUCCUGGGGCAAUCCUUUAGCAUAAGCAGGGAUUUAAGUGUGCACAAUUCCCAUUAUCCACAAUUGUUAGACUCUUUCUCACAAAGAAAGGGCUCCGUAAUUUGAGCAGAUCUGUCAAAUGCACACACAGCGAUGAAAAUGGCCUAUUAGAUGAUAGGGGGCUGCCCUUUCAGUGCUGAGGAAGUGCUCAGCCCUCCUGGGAGAGGAUGAUUCCAAUCCUGCACUGAGAAACUGGGCUUGAUCUUGAAAGAAACACUUCUGGAGUAGUCUUUUCAUAGGGACAUGCAUCUGCUCUGCUUAUUUUGGUACAGGGUAGAGCCCUGCUUGUACCUGGGCUUCUUCUACAGCCAUGGAGAUGGUUUCAGGUAUGACCUGACUGUUCCUGAGCUUUGCAACAAAACCAGGCUAGCACAAAGCAGACCUUCCACCCAGCCAGAAGCUAUGUGAUGCAUCUCCCAUGCAGAGAGCAGGGCAGUGGGUUCAGUGCCUGCAUUCAGGAGCUGCGUGACAAGGGAAUGUCUGGACCUUGUCCAGGCCACUGGCAGCGGACCAUCAGACAUCCAGAAAUACGGUACAACAUCACCCAAAACAGCGAGGGAAUACGUUAAAGUAGGAGAAUGUCUGCCAGAUGCAAGUGUGUGUAAGCCCCUGAGAAGCUGAGCUGGAAGGUAUUUUAAAGAUGCAUCAAAGAGCCCUGUGAGUGACCAGUCUGAAAUUGCUUCCCUGUCUCGGGCAUUAACAUUUGGCAUAAUUUCUGCUUUCACUACAGACAUUAGAAUAAGAAACAGAAAAUGGGAACAGAACUGGAUAUGUUUUGAAAAAUCCAGCCCCUGUAGUGGCCUUAAAAAUCACAGGCAAGUUAUAAACCUGCCCACUGCGGUGGAAUUUGGGAGAGUGAAAAGUUUCAGGGCACUUCAGGAGGGAUUUUGAUUCCAAGCUGAGUUUCUCCAACAGGUCUUUCAAGGAAAAUUGAUGGGAGUUUUGCCUUUCCAGCCACUGGCCUUGCUUGGAGGUGCCACUGAGUUUAUUACUGAUUUAAAUGUUCUCCCAGCUUGUAAGAGAAUGAGUUAUUGAGCACCUCUCCCCAUACCUUCCAGUGAUCCACCCCGUGGCUCCGGGUCUUCGAGGAGCUACCUUCAUAAGGGACUGUAAAUUACAUUUUUCAGGUAUUUACAAAGGGUUUACGAUGAUCUCAAGGCUUGAUCCGAAAAAGCCAUGAACACAAUGGGCUUGGACUUAAUGCCUUUCUGAUGAAGGUGCAGCUAUCGGCUAACUUCAUAACCAGAAGGAAACCUUUGGGUUUGCUCUGGAUCUUCUUCAGAUCCACUUGCCCGCUUGUAGCCAUUACCCAGUGAAAAGCAAGGGGGGAACCAGCUAAAUAAGAACCUUCUUCAGUUGUCUGUUUUUGAUUCAUCUCCGUAUUUCUAAAUCUCACAAGUGCUUUUUAUUUAAAUAAGGAGGCUAAUGAAAGCUGUCUGAGUGGGACAAUUAACCUCAGUCUGAACAGGUCAUUAGAAACAAUGGAGAACUUGAGGCACUCACCCUGGACCAGCAUGGAAACCAGCCAAAUGAGGUAGAUGAGGAGAUUGAUCAUUUUAAAACAAAUAUAAUUUGCUUGAUUUGUUUUCUUCUCUGUCUCUAAUAGCAAAAUUGCUUUGAAGACAAAUAGUAGCCCCUGUUCAUGUUCUUACAUUUACAGGAGUCACUGUCUGCCGAUCCUCAGACUGAAUUGUGUGAUUUCAGUGUGCGUGCAAAUAACACGAGACAACUUCAGCAGCCUGGGAUGAUGUUUUGGGGAAACACUGCUCACAUCCAUUGUGGUCAGAGAGGUACCUUGUGGUCAGAGAGGUACCAGUUGCCCCUUUCACUUCUGAGCCACUCAUGUGACUCAGUAUGUUCCUCUUCUAAUGUAGACCAUCACAGUGACUGGUCUUGGCUGCAAGGUCUCUCCUUUGGGGCAUCACCUUACCCAGAGACUCUGUAGUAUUACAGACUUUGUAUUCCAUACUUGUCCUUUAUGAUCAUUUUAACCACAGGAGGAAGUGUCUCCAUAUUAGAGUUUGGUUUGUGGCUGCCAGCAAAUCCCACAGCAAU